UGGGGGGUGGGGGGGUCUCUUAGCCCAGAUUGAGAGAGGGCGCAGGCCAGGCCGAGAGACCCCACUGGUGCACA
rfam:Myotis lucifugus cont2.26457, whole genome shotgun sequence.